CGGCACGGGUGAGUAACACGUAUGGAACCUGCCCUAUGCAGGGGGAUAAGCGGAAGAAAUCCCGUCUAAUACCGCAUAACACCUUUAGGAGACAUCUUCUUGGGGGUCAAAGGAGGCGACUCCGGCAUAGGAUGGCCAUGCGUCGCAUUAGCUAGUCGGCGGGGUAACGGCCCACCGAGGCGACGAUGCGUAGGGGUUCUGAGAGGAAGGUCCCCCACACUGGUACUGAGACGCGGACCAGACUCCUACGGAAGGCAGCAG
rnacentral:rRNA from 1 species